rnacentral:rRNA from 1 species
AAGGUCACUGCUAUCGGUGUUCGAUUAAGCCAUGCGAGUCGCGAGGGGUAAAGCCCUCGGCGGAGUGCUCAGUAACACGUGGACAACCUACCCAAGAGUCAGGGAUAACCCCGGGAAACUGGGGAUAAUACCUGAUAGGCCAUGACAUCUGGAAUCGAGUUGUGGUUUAAACGUAAGGCUCUUGGAUGGGUCUGCGGCGGAUUAGGUUGUUGCCGGUGUAACGUACCAGCAAGCCUGUAAUCCGUACGGGUUGUGGGAGCAAGAGCCCGGAGAUGGAUUCUGAGACACGAAUCCAGGCCCUACGGGGCGCAGCAGGCGCGAAAACUCUACAAUGCAGGCAACUGCGAUAGGGGAACAUCGAGUGGCAUCCACCAUGGAUGUCUGUCCAAUCGUCUAAAAAACGAUUGUCAGCAAGGGCCGGGCAAGACCGGUGCCAGCCGCCGCGGUAAUACCGGCGGCUCGAGUGGUGGCCGAUAUUAUUGAGUCUAAAGGGUCCGUAGCCGGCUUUGCAAGUCCUAUGGGAAAUCCAGCGGCUUAACCGUUGGGCUUUCAUGGGAUACUAUAUUGCUUGGGACUGGGAGAGGUAGGAGGUACUCAGGGGGGUAGGGGUGAAAUCCUGUAAUCCUUUGGGGACCACCGGUGGCGAAGGCGUCCUACCAGAACAGGUCCGACGGUGAGGGACGAAAGCUAGGGGCACGAACCGGAUUAGAUACCCGGGUAGUCCUAGCCGUAAACGAUGCUCGCUAGGUGUCACGGCAGUCGUGAAUUGUCGUGGUGCCGUAGGGAAGCCGUGAAGCGAGCCACUUGGGAAGUACGACCGCAAGGUUGAAACUUAA